rnacentral:rRNA from 1 species
AUUGAACGCUGGCGGCGUGCCUAACACAUGCAAGUCGAUCGGUAACGCGGGGCAACCUGGCGACGAGAGGCGGACGGGUGAGCAAUAUUUGGGAAUCUGCCUAUUAGUGGGGGAUAACCCGGGGAAACUCGGGCUAAUACCGCAUACGCACUACGGUGGAAAGCCGGGGACCGCAAGGCCUGGCGCUAUUAGAUGAGCCCAAAUCGGAUUAGCUAGUUGGUGAGGUAACGGCUCACCAAGGCGACGAUCCGUAGCUGGGUUGAGAGAACGACCAGCCACACCGGAACUGAGACACGGUCCGGACUCCUACGGGAGGCAGCAGUGGGGAAUAUUGGACAAUGGGGGAAACCCUGAUCCAGCGACGCCGCGUGGGUGAAGAAGGCCUGCGGGUUGUAAAGCCCUUUCGGUUGGGAAGAACAGUAUUGACCUAACACGUCAGUACCUUGACGUAACCAACAAAAGAAGCACCGGCUAACUCUGUGCCAGCAGCCGCGGUAACAC